UUUAAGUAUUCAAAUUCUUUUGUCAUGAUUAUUACUGAACUUUGUGAACUUUAGGAUAGUCCAAACAGGCUUGUAACUCUAAAAAGCCAUAUGUUAAUGAUUAAGGAGCAGAACA